AACGCACAUUGCGCCCUAUGGUAUUCCGUAGGGCAUGCCUGUCUGAGCGUCAGCUCCCACCCACUCAAGUAUCUUUUUUGGGGGAUUCUUGGAAUGAUUUGGAGAGGUGUCUUGUCAUAGAGACGUCCUUCAGAAAUUCAUAGGCAGUAUGGUUUGCACCUGAACCAGACGUAAUAAUAAUAAAAUCGUUUGUUUGGGAAUAAUUGUGCUUGCCUUAACCCACCCAUUUCUCUCAUUUGGGUGACCUCAGAUCAGGUAGGGAUACCCGCUGAACUUAA
rnacentral:misc_RNA from 1 species